rnacentral:rRNA from 1 species
AGUGAACGCUGGCGGUAGGCCUAACACAUGCAAGUCGAACGGCAGCACAGUAAGAGCUUGCUCUUACGGGUGGCGAGUGGCGGACGGGUGAGGAAUACAUCGGAAUCUACUUUUUCGUGGGGGAUAACGUAGGGAAACUUACGCUAAUACCGCAUACGACCUACGGGUGAAAGCAGGGGAUCUUCGGACCUUGCGCGAUUGAAUGAGCCGAUGUCGGAUUAGCUAGUUGGCGGGGUAAAGGCCCACCAAGGCGACGAUCCGUAGCCGGUCUGAGAGGAUGGUCAGCCACCCUGGAAGUGAGACGCGGUCCAUACUCCUACGGGAGGCACCAGUCGGGAAUAUUGGACAAUGGGCGCGAGCCUGAUCCAGCCAUACCGCGUGGGUUAAGAAGGCCUUCGGGUUGUAAAGCCCUUUUGUUGGGAAAGAAAAGCAGCAGGUUAAUACCCCGCUGUUCUGACGGUACCCGAAGAAUAAGCACCGGCUAACUUCGUG